ACAGAGGUGCCAAGCGUUAGGCGGAAUCACUGGGCUUAAAGCGUGUGUAGGCGGACUUUUAAGUGUCUUGUGAAAUCCCACGGCUUAACCGUGGAACUGCUUGACAUACUGGGAGUCUUGAGCUGCCUAGGGGUCGCUGGAACAAACGGUGGAGCGGUGAAAUGCGUAGAUAUCGUUUGGAACGCCAAAGGUGAAAACAGGCGACUGGGGGCAAGCUGACGCUGAGACACGAAAGCCAGGGGAGCAAACGGGAUUAGAUACCCCGGUAGUCCUGGCCCUAAACGAUGUCCACUAGAUCGUGGGAGCUCUGACGCUAAUCACGGUCGAAGCAAAAGUGCUAAGUGGACCGCCUGGGAAGUACGGUCGCAAGGCUA
rnacentral:rRNA from 1 species